AGUGGAUGGGGAGCAACCUAGUUGUGCGUGUGUAAAGGUAGUGCCAAGAAAAGCGAUGAUCAUGUUGAAAAUCAAUUCCCGGUACCCGAAACCGACACAGGUGGGCAAGUAGAGAAUACUAAGGGGCGCGAGGUAACUCUCUCCAAGGAACUCGGCAAAAUGACCCCGUAACUUAGGGAGAAGGGGUGCCACCGAGAGGUGGUCGCAGUGAAGAGGCCCAGGCGACUGUUUAGCAAAAACAUAGGUCUCUGCAAACUCGAAAGAGGAGGUAUAGGGGCUGACGCCUGCCCAGUGCCGGAAGGUUAAAGAAGUUGGUCAGUUUUAGGAUGAAGCUAGCGACUGAAGCCCCGGUGAACGGCGGCCGUAACUAUAACGGUCCUAAGGUAGCGAAAUUCCUUGUCGGGUAAGUUCCGACCCGCACGAAAGGCGUAACGAUCUGGGCGCUGUCUCGGAGAGAGGCUCGGCGAAAUAGGAUUGUCUGUGAAGAUACGGACUACCUGCAUUUGGACAGAAAGACCCUAUGAAGCUUUACUAUAGCUUGGAAUUGUGUUCGGGCUUCCUGUGCGCAGGAUAGGUGGGAGGCGAAGAAGGUAUUCUUGUGGGGAUACUGGAGCCAACGGUGAGAUACCACUCUCAGGAGGCUAGAAUUCUAACUUAAUUAAGGACAGUUUCAGGUGGGUAGUUUGACUGGGGCGGUCGCCUCCAAAAAGGUAACGGAGGCGUACAAAGGUUCCCUCAGACUGGUUGGAAAUCAGUCGCAGAGUGCAAAGGCAGAAGGGAGCUUGACUGCGAGAAGUACAGUUCGAGCAGGGUGGAAACACGGUCUUAGUGAUCCGACGGUGCUGUGUGGAAGGGCCGUCGCUCAACGGAUAAAAGUUACUCUAGGAUAACAGGCUGAUCUCCCCCAAGAGUUCACAUCGACGGGGAGGUUUGGCACCUCGAUGUCGGCUCAUCGCAACCUGGGGCGGAAGUACGUCCCAAGGGUUGGGCUGUUCGCCCAUUAAAGCGGUACGUGAGCUGGGUUCAGAACGUCGUGAGACAGUUCGGUCCAUAUCCGAUGUAGGCGUGAGAAUAUUGAGAGGAGCCUUCCUUAGUACGAGAGGACCGGGAAGGACGCACCGCUGGUGUACCUGUUAUGAUGCCAAUUGUAAACGCAGGGUAGCCUAGUGCGGAGAGGAUAACCGCUGAAAGCAUCUAAGUGGGAAGCCCACCUCAAGAUGAGUAUUCUGGUGUAAGGUCACGGGAAGACGACCCGUAAAUAGGCACGAGGUGGAAGUGCAGAGAUGUAUGAAGCCGAAGUGUACUAAUAGACCGUCGGCUU
rnacentral:rRNA from 1 species